rnacentral:rRNA from 1 species
GAUGAACGCUGGCGGCGUGCCUAAUACAUGCAAGUCGAGCGAACGGACGAGAAGCUUGCUUCUCUGAUGUUAGCGGCGGACGGGUGAGCAACACGUGGAUAACCUACCUAUAAGACUGGGAUAACUUCGGGAAACCGGAGCUAAUACCGGAUAAUAUUUUGAACCGCAUGGUUCAAAAGUGAAAGACGGUCUUGCUGUCACUUAUAGAUGUAUCCGCGCUGCAUUAGCUAGUUGGUAAGGUAACGGCUUACCAAGGCAACGAUGCAUAGCCGACCUGAGAGGGUGAUCGGCCACACUGGAACUGAGACACGGUCCAGACUCCUACGGGAGGCAGCAGUAGGGAAUCUUACGCAAUGGGCGAAAGCAUGACGGAGCAAAGCCGCGUGAGUGAUGAAGGUCUUCGGAUCGUAAAACUCUGUUAUUAGGGAAGAACAUAUGUGUAAGUAACUGUGCACAUCUUGACGGUACCUAAUCAGAAAGCCACGGCUAACUACGUG